GAAACUGAUGAUAGUUAUUGUCGCCCCAAUCUUACUUGCAUCCCAUCUUUGGAUGUCAAAAAUGGUGAUUGACACCUUUUAUAUCCGAUUC